rnacentral:lncRNA from 1 species
GCCCAGCAGAGUCUGGUCAACCAUGAUAAGUCUCUGAUCUCGGCCAUACCUCCGACACCAAUGCAAUGAUUCGCCUGGUAGCGUACUGGUUCGGGUCGUACGACGCCCUCACCGCCGACAUCAGUACAAUGAUUCGCCUGACCGUGCGCCGACCUGAGCCACAUGCCGAGCCGUACUAUGGCCUUGCCCUGUUACAUCACAGGUAAACCGACCCCCACCUAUAAAAGGGAGCCUUGGCCUCUCAGGAGGGGGUUGGGAAAUUCCGCGCCUUACAAGCACUGUUCAUCUCCUCCUUACACUAUC